ensembl:lncRNA
GACAGACGGACGGAAGGACAGACAGAGAGACAGAGAGACCUGUUAUUACGGAUGAAGCAGACUGAGAAGAAUAGAGGACCUGAGCCCAUGCCUCAGGACUACCUGGCAUGAUGACUCAUUGCUGUCCCCAGUCCACCUGGCUGUGCUGCUGCUCCAGUUUCAACUGUUCUGCCUGCGGCUAUGGAACCCUGACCUGUUCACUGGACGUGCUACCUGUCCCAGGCCUGCUGUUUUCAACUCUCUAGAGACAGCAGGAGCGGUAGAGAUACUCUGAAUGAUCGGCUAUGAAAAGCCAACUGACAUUUACUCCUGAUGUGCUGACCUGUUGCACCCUCGACAACUACUGUGAUUAACAUUAUUUGACCAUUCUGGUCAUUUAUGAACAUUUGAACAUCUUGGUCAUGUUCUGUUAUAAUCUCCACCCGGCACAGCCAGAAGAGGACUGGCCACCCCUCAUAGCCUGGUUCCUCUCUAGGUAUCUUCCUAGGUUUGGGCCUUUCUAGGGAGUUUUUCCUAGCCACCGUGCUUCUACACCUGCAUUGCUUGCUGUUUGGGGUUUUAGCCUGGGUUUCUGUACAGCACUUUGAGAUAUCAGCUGAUGUAAGAAUUUGAUUUGAUUUGAUUCAACAAAAGCAAUUUUGCAAAAUUGAAAUGGCAGAUAUAGUCGAAAUGUUAUUGUGGAAAAGGCCCAUGGAGUCGGUGAAAUCACCCAUUAAUUCAUGGCCACUUGCACAGCUGGGCAAGAAAGUUUAAAUUAGGUCAGGUGGAAAUGUCUGACAUAUCUCAUCUCAUGUGCUGUUUGUGUCGCACUGCUUUGCUUUAUCUUGGCCAGUUUACAGUUGUAAAUGAGAACUUGUUCUCAACUGGCCUACCUGGUUAAAUAAAGGUGAAAUAAAAAAUGAAAUAAAAAUUUUUAAAGGAGGAAAUCGCCACCGCCCGACCUCACUGCUUUCUCUCCCCCAACUCCAGACAUGUGUGUCCACAAAUCAACGUAAGGCCACCAAAUAUUUUAUCUUUUAUCUGAAUUAUCUGUUGUGCUCGGGAAAGUUGGCCAUCAGUUAUCGUUUAUAGUUAUUACCAUGAUGCCCAGCUUGGAGUGCACGCUUCACACCUAUUGUAUUAUAUCAAUGGACAAUGAUCACG